UACGGAGGAUCCGAGCGUUAUCCGGAUUUAUUGGGUUUAAAGGGAGCGUAGAUGGAUUGUUAAGUCAGUUGUGAAAGUUUGCGGCUCAACCGUAAAAUUGCAGUUGAAACUGGCAGUCUUGAGUACAGUGGAGGUGGGCGGAAUUCGUGGUGUAGCGGUGAAAUGCUUAGAUAUCACGAAGAACUCCGAUUGCGAAGGCAGCUCACUGGACUGCAACUGACACUGAGGUUCGAAAGUGUGGGUAUCAAACAGG
rnacentral:rRNA from 1 species